AAUAUUGGGCAAUGGGGGCAAGCGUGAUCCAGCCAAGCCGGGGGAGUGAAGAAGGCCUUUGGGUUGUAAAGCACUUUAAGCGGGGAGGAGGGUGCUAUAGUUAAUACCUAUAGUCAGUGGACGUUACUACCAGAAGAAGCACCGGCUAAUUAGUUCCCGCCAGCCGCGGUAAUACUAAGGGGGCAACCGUUAUUGGGAUUUUUUGGGGGUAAAGGGGGGGUAGGGGGCUUUUUAAUUAGGAUGUGAAAUCCCUGGGCUUAACUUGGGAAUUGCAUUCAAAACUGGGAAGUUAGGUGCGGGGGGGGGAAGGUGGAAUUCCAGGUGUAGGGGUGAAAUGGUUAGUAAUUGGGAGGAAAACAGAUGGGGAAGGCACCCAUUGGGCCUAAUAUGACCCUGAGUCACGAAAGGCUGGGGGGGCAACCAGGAUUAAUUACCUUGGUAGUCCACCGGUAAACGAUGUUUAUUAGCCGUGGGGCCUUUAAGCCUUUAGUGCCGCAGCUAA
rnacentral:rRNA from 1 species